GCCUUUAAAUGGUCUCUCAGUCUAGUUCUAUAGGCUACACAAUCAUGGGGAAGACUGCUGACUUGACAGUUGUCCAAAAGAUGACCACUGACACCUUGCAGAAGGAGGGCAAGACACAAAAGGUCAUUGCAAAAGAGGCUGGCUGUUCACAGAGCUCUGUGUCCAAGCACAUUAAUUAACUCUAACAGCUGAGUUAGUCCAUAUAACCCAAAAUUUCAUUAAAACAAUCCAGCAUUUUUUGGAGUGUACCUAUACCGUCCCACACAUAUUACCAUAUCUACUGUCUAUUGCUUGUUUAUUAUUCAUGACAUACUUUCUUCCAGAUUAUGGCUUCCUACACCUCACCAUCAAAAUUCCCCAAAAUACACCACCCUGAGACUGAAUCAAUUCAUGACCGCCUCCAACUCAUUGCUUACAAAUGCCAAGAUCCAUCUGUCAACCCCAUCGAAACACCACAACUUUGUAAUCUAGGCACUAAUAUCAUGAAAAUCAUGUCACACUGUGACAACCAAAACAAGGCUCUCCAGCAAUGUGUCACUACACUUCGUUCAGAACUACAAGACAUGAAAAAAAAAACUCUCAGAAGCUCUAACUUCUGCAGAAAUCAACACUGCUACCCAAUACUUUUUCAAAGAUGAACAAUGUGACAUGUCCUCACAGACGGAGCAUGUCCCUUCAACAUUACCUGAACACUUACCUGAGAAUAACAACUAUCAAGGUAAUAAACACUCCCACUCCAAUAUACUGUAAUUCGUUACACAUAUCCUUUACUACAGCAAAUCUCUUCAAUCAAAUACUUAUAACUUCCUCUUUUCCUUUUUUCAGAAAUACAAGCUGCAACAAAGUCUUCUCCAAAACCAUCUACAGAAAGAUCUACAGAAUGCUUAACAUUCAUUAUAUUGUGACCACACUUUUUAUGCUGCACUGUUUUUUACUUUUAAAACUACAAAUUGUUAUAUUUCCAUUUACUCUUAAACCACAUUAUUUUCUUUU
ensembl:lncRNA